GGCUGCUCCGGCUCCCGGGCUGCUCCGGCUCCCGGGCUGCUCCGGCUCCCGGGCUCCUCCGGCUCCUGGGCUCCUCCGGCUCCUCCGCCCCUGGGCUCCAUCAGUUCCCGAGCUCCUCCGGCUCCUCCGCCCCUGGGCUCCAUCAGUUCCCGAGCUCCUCCGGCUCCCUGGCUCCUCUCCUCCCGGCCACCGCCGCAGGUUGUCCCCGCCGGGCCGGGCGGCUGCUCGGUCCCGCCCGCGGCCCGCUCCCCUCCCCAGGAUGCCCAAGCAGAACGUUGCACAGGUCUGCUGGGAGUGACCCGUGGGUAACACCGGCUUUAAGGGUGGUAACACAACGGGGAGGACAGAGCUGAGCCGGGCGGAACACACGAUGGGAGCGAACACCUCCAGCAAGGCACCACCCUUCAAUGAAAACGAAGAUGUCACCUUCGACCAUUUUGAAAUUUUGCGAGCUAUUGGGAAGGGCAGCUUCGGAAAAGUCUGUGUUGUGCAGAAAAAUGACACCAAGAAGAUGUACGCCAUGAAAUACAUGAAUAAACAAAAGUGCGUGGAGCGUAAUGAAGUGAGAAAUGUUUUCAAGGAGCUGCAGAUUAUGCAGGGCCUGGAGCACCCCUUCCUAGUUAAUUUAUGGUACUCGUUCCAGGAUGAAGAAGAUAUGUUUAUGGUUGUAGACCUGCUGCUUGGAGGGGACCUGCGUUACCAUCUCCAACAAAACGUGCGGUUCCAAGAAGGCACCGUGAAACUCUUCAUCUGUGAGCUGGUGCUGGCCCUUGACUAUCUCCAGAGCAGGCACAUCAUCCACAGAGACAUCAAGCCCGACAACAUUUUACUGGAUGAGCACGGACACGUUCACAUCACAGAUUUCAAUAUUGCCACGAUGCUGACUAAAGAAAUACAAGUCACCACCAUUGCUGGCACAAAGCCCUAUAUGGCACCUGAAAUGUUUAACUCCACAAAACCCACCGGCUAUUCCUUCGCUGUGGACUGGUGGUCCUUAGGAAUCACUGCCUACGAGCUGCUCAGGACCCGGAGGCCAUAUCAUAUUCGCUCCAACACUUCCAUAAAUGAAAUCGCUCACGUGUUCAAGACGGCUACAGUGAUGUACCCUGCUGCUUGGUCCGCAGACAUGGUGUCGCUAAUCCAAAAGUUGCUCGAGCCGAACCCCGAGAAGCGUUUUUCUCAGCUGAAAGAUAUCCAGGACUUUCCAUAUCUGUCAGAUGUGAACUGGGAUGCUGUUCUCCAGAAAAGGAUAAUGCCAGAAUUCAUUCCCACGAAAGGCAGACUGAAUUGUGACCCAACCUUUGAAUUGGAAGAAAUGAUUCUAGAAUCCAAACCUCUGCACAAGAAAAAAAAGCGCUUGGCUAAGAAGGAGAAAGACACCAGGAAAAACAAUUCCUCCCAGGCCUGCCAUCUUCAAAAGCACCUAGAGGUGCUCCAGAGGGACUUCAUUGUUUUCAACAGAGAAAAGGUGAAACACCACCACAGCGACAUCCAGGAGACCCUAACACUGGCAAAAAGCAGCAGCACAUACAAGCAGAACCAGAACAAGAACCUCUGAAGGCAGCACAGCCCCUGCCGGCGCUCUCCUCGUGGGGCUGGCGCACACCCACCUGCACAGCACUGGGCCACCAGCCUGGCCGGCUGCUGCCAGGACCCCACCGGUAGCCCAGGGCAGGGUGGCUGGGCACAGCUGGGGCACCCACUCCCUCUGCCUUCCACCCCACAGCUGCUGGAUCCUGGGCGUGGGGGGAGAGGCUGCGGGUGCUGCCUCUGCAACUUGCCACAGUCAGUUAGACUCAGCUCCUAUUAUUUUGCCUUUCUUGGUGGCUGGAAUGUGACCAUGUGACAAUGGAUGAGAUUUCAGUGUUCUCCGUUUCAGCUUGGCUAGCCAGCCUGGCAGCCCUUGGUGUUGCCUGCCAGGCGACUGCCAGCAGCAUAACCGAAGGGUUCACCAUGCGUCUUCACCAGUAUCAGUCUUGGUGGUGAGUCCUUGACAGCACUGUGGGUUCGGGGUCUGUGAGGGUCGGGACACCCACCUGGGCUCAUACCUGGUUGCUCCGGAUGGAAGAGGCCGCUCUCAGCUGCGGUGCAGUGACCAAGGUGGCCUUUGCCUACAGCUGCCUCCUGCAAACCUCCCACAAGUGUGGGCACAGAGGGCUGGAAGGGGCAAUGAGCUCCUUCCUUAGCUGGGAGGAGGCAGCAAAGCUUUCCCAUCUGUUUCCCCCUCUUUCCGUGAUGGUUCCUGUACCCAUUUCUCACAGAGCAGGGCUGGCACGGUGGGUGAGCAGAGCAUGCAAACAGAUGUGAAGAUGAAGAGGUAACAGCCAGGCCCUGGUGAAUAACCAGCAUCCAGAUCUCUUCCAGGUCAGCCUGAAAAACCCAUUCAUCAUCACAUUGAACUGAUGCAACUCACUGAAUCUGAUGGGGUUUGGCUUCCAACACCAGAGGUACCGCAAUGCAAGCACCUCCCUGGACUCGAAGGGGGCCUGGUCUUGCGCUGCAUAUCCUCUUCCUGACAUGGUGCCGUAUGUAAUCGUCACCUCUGAACAAUAAAGAUAAGCAGCCCCCUCCCCAAGUUUUAGAGGACUAUAGCAGCUUCUUUGCUGCCAUCCCGUGAAGGUGCUAGGGUAAGGGGAAGCUGGUUCUGGGUGAAGGCUGCAGGGAUGGUGGGGUGCAGCAGAGCACCCUGCUUUCCUCUGGGCAAGUGCCCCACAGCUGUGCGGGUUGAUGCACUGCAGUACCACCUCCUUCUUCCACAUGCUGUGCCCGGUAGCCUGGUUGGUUUUGCUCAGGUCAGGCUCCUGGCAUAGUUGCAGCACAGCGUGUGUGCUCAGGGCUGGGGAGCGGAGGGCAGCAGCAUCACUGUAUGUAUGUUAACAGCAUGGAAACAACCUGCAGGGAAAGUGUGACCCUUUUUCUGUCCAGGGAGCUGCAAAGGAAUUAGUUCACCAGUAAGCAGCUAGUGGAGUCCUCAAAGGGGGUCAUUGCAAUGGGGAAGCCACCUUUUCCUGCUAAUUCACACCACACUCAACAAUAUUUCUGUGUUCUUGCUCUCCCCCCCUCCCCAGCCCUCCCUGCUUUUGAGCAAUACAACUGCUGAAGGAGGGGCUAGAGGUCUCUGUGUCUCCUGCCUUCAGAUUUGUCAUUCCCAGGGAGGCUAGCCAGAGCACCUGCAGCAUUUUCCAUUGCACCUCUGGUCUUUGCUCAGUCCUACACAGGGUUUGGGGCGAGGUGCAGUUGGUGCCAGCAGUUGUACCUGUCUCCCUCAGCACACAACUACCCUCGUCUUGCACUGGUGUGGUUAGUGAAGAGGUUCAUACGCCAUAAAUGUGUGUGUUUUGGGGCCGCAGACAAGGAAACUAGCCCUGCUCCUCACUGGGGAAAAAAACUGUUGCUGCAUAAAUACCAUUGUACUGGCUGGCCACAAAAAAAACCAAACCAAAACAAAACAAAACAAAACAAAAAAAAAACCUCAAGAACUUAAAUGGUAAGAACAUUGCAUCUUUAAAAAUUCCCCAAAGACUUCUGAAACCAUCUCUCCUUUCCCCUCUUCCUCUGUAAACAGAGGCACAGUCUCAGCUUAAUCACUACCAGGCAACAGAGAAAAUCUGUAAUUACUUGAUAGCAGAACCUCACAAAACUUCGAAGUAUGAACAGCCUUCCCCACCCCUGGCACGACUGUUCUGGCAUGGCCCCUUAAGGACUGCUCCAUGGACAACUUGUCCUGUCUGGGUUGCAGGCAUGUAAAAAUAAAUAUUUCAAGGUCAAAUACUUGAGGAAGAAGAAGAAAAAAAAAGUGUAUUUAUUUAGCACAGCUGAAAUUGGCACUUAAUUUUUGCAAUAUUUAAAAAACAAUCAAAUUUUUUUUUGCAUGCUUUGCAAGAUUUAGAAGGCUGUGACCCUCGGUUUGAUAAACACUGCUUGAUAGAAAGGGAGCAUUUAACUCACAGGUGCCCACAGAAAACAGUCUCCAAGCCAGCCCCAGCUGGGCAGACCCAAACACCGUGCCCAGGCAGUGCCGUGGGGCGCUGGUCUCUGUCACCACACAGGUGACAGGCGCAGCUUUGCCAGGCAUUAACAGCCCGUGAUGGCCAGGUCAGGCUGCCAGAGACCAGACGGAAAAAACUGAACAGGCUUCUACAAACACUUCCACCACGCUGCUUUGCCAAUACCUUUGCUUUUGCCCAAGAAGCUACACCAAUACCCUGACGCCUACGGCAGCAAGCACCGCACGGUUCCCAUCUGAGCAGCCUGUCCAUGCGCUGUAGCUGCUCCAGAUGCAGUGCACCCCAGAGCCCCCCUGGACCCAGCUGCCCAGCUUGCCCACAGGGCACAGCGUCGCACCACCCCUGCCCAGCAGCAGCCUGAGGAAGAAGAAAAAGCCAACAAGAAACAUGAGUUGUUUGAAGGAACAACUUUUUUUUUUUUUUUUUUUUUUAAUAAAGUGUACAAAGUAGUAAAACUCCUUACACGAGGCGCUGUGAGAGCUGUUACAGAGAUGACUCGGGCUCCCCCGUGGGCCUCGUGGUGAAACGCCAACGAGCGUUGGGUGGAGGUGAAGGACACGAACACGACACAGACUCCCCCGUCCCCACCAAGCUCCUGUGAAUGUGCCCUCCCUGCCCCACACCGCGCCGCCGGCCGGCCCCUGUCCCUGGUUCGCCCACGCUGCGUCAUUCCCACUGUCCCACACCACGGCAUCCCACACGCGUUCAACACGAAUAACACACUGAACCGAGCGACCUGUCUGAGCGGCAUGCAUACAGAAAGGAAGAGUAAAAACACCACCCAACCAAACCCACAACAACAACAACAACAGAAUUUUAAGGCUAUGCAUAAAACAAAAUGAAGCAAUAUCUUUAAAGCUAGGUAGCAAGUAGCAUUUGUGAAACAUAAGGCUUGAGGCUUAUCGAUUCUUCAGAACAGGUUUAUUUGCUUUUCCUUCUUAAACACCAAUGUACCAUU